rnacentral:rRNA from 1 species
GGCCUACCAUGGUGGUAACGGGUAACGGGGUGUUAGGGCACGACACCGGAGAGGGAGCCUGAGAAACGGCUACCACAUCCAAGGAUGGCAGCAGGCGCGCAAAUUACCCAAUCCCGACACGGGGAGGUAGUGACAAUAAAUAACAAUACGGGGUUCUUUCGGAUCUCGUAAUUGGAAUGAGUACAAUUUAAAUCUCUUAACGAGGAACAAUUGGAGGGCAAGUCUGGUGCCAGCAGCCGCGGUAAUUCCAGCUCCAAUAGCGUAUAUUAAAGUUGUUGCAGUUAAAAAGCUCGUAGUUGAAUUUCGGGGUUAGUAGGCUGGUCAUGCCACCGGUAUGUACUGGUCUUACUGAUUCCUCCUUCCUGAUGAACUGUAAUGCCAUUAAUUUGGUGUUGCGGGAAUCUGGGACUGUUAUUUGAAAAAAUUUAUGGGGUUUUAAAGCAGGGUAACGCUUUGAAUACCUUACCUGGAAUAAUGAAAAUAGGGACGUUUCGAUCCUAUUUUUGUUGGUUUCCAGGGAUUGACGUAAUGAUUAAAUAGGGAAUAGUUGGGGGGCAUUAAUAUUCAAAUGUCAGAGGUGAAAUUCUUGGGAUUUAUUGAAGACUAACUACUGCCAAAGCAUUUUGCCAAGGAUGUUUUCAUUAAUCAAGAACGAAAGUUAGGGGAUCGAAAACGAUCAGAUACCGUCGUAGUCUUAACCAUAAACUAUGCCGACUAGGGAUCGGAUGAUGUUAAUUUUUUAAUGACUCAUUCGGCGCCUUAC